AUUGAACGCUGGCGGCAUGCUUUACACAUGCAAGUCGAACGGCAGCGCGGGCUUCGGCCUGGCGGCGAGUGGCGAACGGGUGAGUAAUACAUCGGAACGUGCCCAGUAGUGGGGGAUAGCUCGGCGAAAGCCGGAUUAAUACCGCAUACGACCUGAGGGGGAAAGCGGGGGAUCUUCGAACCUCGCGCAAUUGGAGCGGCCGAUGGCAGAUUAGCUAGUUGGUGGGGUAAAGGCCUACCAAGGCGACGAUCUGUAGCUGGUCUGAGAGGACGACCAGCCACACUGGGACUGAGACACGGCCCAGACUCCUACGGGAGGCAGCAGUGGGGAAUUUUGGACAAUGGGCGAAAGCCUGAUCCAGCAAUGCCGCGUGUGUGAUGAAGGCCUUCGGGUUGUAAAGCACUUUUGGCGGGAACGAAAAGGGCUGUGCCAAUACCACGGUUCGAUGACGGUACCCGCAGAAUAAGCACCGGCUAACUACGU
rnacentral:rRNA from 1 species